UUAGAGUUUGAUCCUGGCUCAGGACGAACGCUGGCGGCAUGCCUAAUACAUGCAAGUCGAACGCUGAAGCACUCUGCUUGCAGAGUGCGGAUGAGUGGCGAACGGGUGAGUAACACGUGGGAAAUCUGCCUAGGAGUGGGGGAUAACAUUCGGAAACGGAUGCUAAUACCGCAUAUCUUUUUGAACCGCAUGGUUCUUAAACGAAAGACGGCUUCGGCUGUCGCUCUUAGAUGAUCCCGCGGCGUAUUAGUUAGUUGGUGGGGUAAAGGCCUACCAAGACCAUGAUACGUAGCCGACCUGAGAGGGUGAUCGGCCACACUGGGACUGAGACACGGCCCAGACUCCUACGGGAGGCAGCAGUAGGGAAUCUUCCACAAUGGGUGCAAACCCGAUGGAGCAAUGCCGCGUGAAUGAAGAAGGUCUUCGGAUCGUAAAGUUCUGUUAUUAGUGAAGAACAAAUCGAGGAGUAACUGUCUCGAUUUUGACGGUACCUAACCAGAAAGUCACGGCUAACUACGUGCCAGCAGCCGCGGUAAUACGUAGGUGACAAGCGUUGUCCGGAAUUAUUGGGCGUAAAGGGAGCGCAGGCGGUUGGAAUAGUCUGAUGUGAAAGCCCACGGCUUAACCGUGGGAAGGUCAUUGGAAACUGUCCAACUUGAAUACAGAAGAGGUAAGUGGAAUUCCAAGUGUAGCGGUGAAAUGCGUAGAUAUUUGGAAGGACCACAGUGGGCGAAGGCGACUUUCUGGUCUGUAUUUGACCCUGAGGCUUCGAAGCCUGGGGUACCAAACAAGAAUUAAAUACCCCUGGGUAUUCCACGCC
rnacentral:rRNA from 1 species